rnacentral:rRNA from 1 species
GAUGAACGCUGACAGAAUGCUUAACACAUGCAAGUCAACUGUGGCGGACGGGUGAGUAACGCGUAAAGAACUUGCCUCACAGUUAGGGACAACAUUUGGAAACGAAUGCUAAUACCUGAUACUGUGAGAGAGCUUUGCUUCCCAUUAGCCAGUUGGAGAGGUAACGGCUGACCAAGGCGAUGAUGGGUCGACGGCCUGAGAGGGUGAUCGGCCACAAGGGGACUGAGAUACCGACGUUACACCUACGGGAGGCAGCAGUGUGGAAUAUUGGACAAAGGACCAAAGACUGAUACAGCAAUGCUGUGUGCACGAUGAAGUUUUAGGAAUGAAAAGUGCUUUCAGUUGGGAAGCGGGACCGACAGAAGAAGUCACGGCUAAAUACGUGCCAGCAGCCGCGGUAAUAC